rnacentral:lncRNA from 1 species
GGAUUUUUUUAAAUAUCAGAAACGAAGACAGACCCAAACCUGGGGAAAUGUAAAUGAAAGUCCUAUUAUUGAAAGACAGUCGGUAAUAGAUUGUAAGAACUUAGGUCAUGCCCUUUCGCAGGAUCCACAUUUAUAUUCCAGGCUGGAGAGGGAAAUGCUGGAGAGGUACUGAGUCUAUGGCCUGGGCCUUUCUGGCUGGGAGAUGGUUGGUCAUUGGAGCACCAGACGGUUCUGAGCAACGCCAUAGGCUGGCAGCGGAAGUGUCUUACUAUUGUGUCAGCCUGUUCACCUCGUGGCACGAGCUGCAAAUACUGCAACACAGUUUGAAGCAAAGGUCUGGAGGCCCAUGCUGUCCUUGGAGUUCCAGGACACCUGGAGAAGGCAGGCUCUCAGCUCUCUAACCACAGCACAGAGCCCUCCGAAUGAGCGCCAGGCAUCGCCCCAGCGGCCACCGCUCUCCCGUGUCCCCAAUGCCGCACGGUUCCCUAGUGCCUGAGCUGGAGUUCAGGCCCACGUCUGGCUGAUCCAGUGCCUGAGCACCACAACUCCAGUCUGCUGCAGUGUGCGGGAGCAGGCAUGAUUUGGGGGCCAAACUUGCCAUUUGAGGGCUCAACCAACAAAAGAAAAGGCCGACUUCACUUUUUAGAAGCAAUAGGAAAGAUAGAUCCAAGUGUCCUUGGGAAAAAGCCUUUAUAAAAGCAACCGAGCAUCUCUACUGACAAUAUGACUUUCUGAGGCAAUCCUAGAAAUCCAUUUAUGUAAUCAGCGGAUGACUUCGCUCCUGCUCCUGAGCAGCUCCAGGCUCAAUUCCGUCUGCACGCUCAACAGAGAAUCCGAUGGCCUCAAAUCAAUGCUCGGAGCCGGGAGGCCCGGGCCGUCUUUCUGUCUUCGGAAGCAUUCAUAUAGCCUCAAUAUUGCAAGGGACGAGGGGCUUUCUGUCCUUCCCCUGCUCGUGGUGGAUCUGUGUGAAGACAAAGAUUUCAUUUCUUAUCAGCCUGCGUGUCUUAACAGGCCCAGCACAGAUCCGGUGCUGACUUGCCUGUAGUCAAGCUCCCCAUUACGUUUAAGAGGGCCAGCAGCUCAUCCUUGCUUAUAAAUGAAGUGUGGCCUUGGUCUGGGAUCUCAGCGGCUGUGGGGAUCUGUGGUGCUCUCUGUUGCAUGUCUGAACGUGCCCUGCAGUGUUACCGAACAAGAUUGUGAGACGGUUUGAGUGCUGGAGUAUAAGAUGACCUAUACGCCCAAACCCUGUGAUUUGAUUUUGCUUUCAACAGGUGAAAGGAACCUAACAUUUGUGUAUUUUUUCUUUUUUCAAUUAUCAUUAUUACUUAGUGUUAUGGGAGACUUAUGGAAACAAACAAAAAUGGAUGCUGGUAUCUAAGAUUGAUUAAAUAAUGAAUGCAG